rnacentral:rRNA from 1 species
UACGGAGGGUGCAAGCGUUGUUCGGAUUUAUUGGGCGUAAAGGGCGCGUAGGCGGCUCGGCACGUCCGUUGUGAAAUCGCCCGGCUCAACUGGGCGGGGUCGGCGGAUACGGCCGAGCUGGAGCAAGCUAGGGGGUAAUGGAAUUCCCGGUGUAGUGGUGGAAUGCGUAGAUAUCGGGAGGAACACCAGUGGCGAAGGCGGUUGCCUGGAGCUUUGCUGACGCUGAUGCGCGAAAGCGUGGGGAGCGAUCCGG